rnacentral:lncRNA from 1 species
CUCAUUUAAGUAAAUUGUAAGAAAAAAAAACUUGGAAGCUGUUAUAGUCCCAUGCACGUGAAAGGUUCUAAGAAUAUCUUAUUUUAUGAAUAAUUGUUUAAACUUGAGCCUUAGCUCGAUUCAGAAGAUCGUCCCAACACACCUACGAAAGAACGGUGCGCUUUCUUGUCAUGUCUUCCAAUUCCAUGCUGAUAUUCAUCGCCACCUUUGGUUUCUCAAUUGUCUAGUGCAUAAUGCAUCGUCUCAAUGACACUACAAGCGCCAUUGUCCUCCAAGCUCGAAUUAUACUUGGCUUUACCACCCCUAGGAGCAAACCUCGCAAGAGUCUCAGUUCUACUUGUCAGUUUUCCUCCCAAUGGACGCCAUGGAACUAUCCAACAGCGGUGGCAUGGCGAGCUACGCGAAAACCUGUCCGGAAAGGAGCGUACCGCGACCUAGUGCUGAGCGACGUAGAUGAAAUUUUUUUGUGGUCGACCAACACGGGCCUCGAGAGCUCUGGAAAUCUCGUAAUCCGGAGCAAAACUGGAGCUUUGCUGUGGCAGAGCUUUGGUCAUCCCGGUGAUGCUAUGCUCCCUGCCAGCCUCUAAAACCAGGGAUGAAGUUAGUAGCCAGCAUCUCUAACGAGAACAAAGAGCGAGGGUACUUCUCACUCGGGUAAGCUGCUUCUUGGUCGCUUUGAACUCCAGUAUGUUGGGAUAUUUUGGAGAGCUCUGGAGCUCCGACGAGGAAGAAGAAGAGAUAUCGUUUCUCUUCCUCGUCAAUAGCAGCUUGGAAAUCCACGGGACGAAAGGUGUUAUGUGGUCCACUCCAACGAUCGGUGAUGUUACUGGUCAAUACGGAUACCAGUUACUCAAGAUCUACUCGAAUGGAGAGCUCCAUUUUACCUCGAGAUCAUUCAGCAGCAGCAACAGCACGACGAGCAUCGACUUAAAACCCGCAGUUAUUCGGGAACAGCUUGCUUACUCGAACCUGUGGGAUCUCGUUCCAGACAGCUGAUGGAUGCCUCUGUCCGGAGCUCAAGAACGACACCAGGGGAUCGUCAUCCAUGGAGUACGUUUCUUCCGGGGACAAGGAGAGGUGCAAGCCCGAAAACGAACCUGGAAGAGCCUGCGAGAACUCGCAACAUACUACAUGCUCGAAGCCACAGUACGAUACUUCUACAAACCUCUAGAUUUAUCCAGUGCGCUCCACAACGUCACUCCAGCAGCGUGCAUGGCCCUGUGUAUCAAAAACUGUUCGUGCAAAGCAGUUCUAAGCCAGGAGAAAACGAGUACCUGUUUCCAGAUGAAUGAAGUUUUUGCUUUGAACAGAACUCGCAACGUCGUCGAUCAAGCUUUGCUGUUUUAGAUCAAGUUGUACCAAGAUGGAGAUCUUCCAAAGCUCUCAGCACCAGGCAGCUCGCAGAACAAAGUAGCCAAGCAGCAGAAAAAGGCAAAGCCAGCCCUCGUCGCGGCUUUCUCUGUGGCAACCAUGGCUAUAAUCAUCAUCGCAAUGGUGAUCUGGAAGAAACAGAUAAACUCGUAGCUCAAACACUACAAACCAUCGCUUCCAUCCGGUGCUAUGGACGUGGUGCGCGUCUUCACGUACCCGGAGCUCCACACUGCAACCAAAGCCUUCAGUAAGAAAAUCGCAAGUGGAGGCUUUGGCACGGUUUUCGAAGGGAUACUCUCGGAUGGAUCCAAGGUUCCUGUCAAGCGUCUGGAAACCUUCUCGAGCCAAGGAUACAAGCAGUUCAAGGCGGAGGUGGGGGCGAUCAGAAGCAUCCAUCACAAGAACCUCGUAAGACUCAAAGGCUUUUGUUCCCAGGAAUCACACCACUUCCUGGUUUACGAGUACGUACCAAACGGAUUGCUAGACAAGUGGAUCUACAAGCCGCUGGAAGAGCUCAACUGGGACACGAGAUUCAGGAUAGUCGAGGAGAUUGCUCAAGGGAUUCGCUACCUCCACGAGGAAUGCAGCACUAGAGUCCUCCACUUGGAUAUCAAGCCGCAAAACAUACUCCUGGACGAGAACUUUGGUGUCAAGAUAGCAGACUUUGGACUGUCCAGGAUGGUAGAGCAAGGAGAUCUAAGCGAUGUCAUGACCAUGAUCCGAGGAACACCCGGACAUAUGAGAUGAGAGUGAGCGACAAACUGGACGUCUACAGCUUUGGGAUCCUUGUGCUGGAAGUGGCUACCGGAUUACAAGCUUUCCAUACCUGUGUGUCUUGCGGGAGGAGCCCGGGCAUGGGCGUUUGAGAAGCUUCGGUCUGGGAAGUUAAUGGAGAUGUUAGAAGAGAAGAGGGCCCGGCACGAAAUGGAGGCUAUCUCUAAGGCCGAGAAGCUGCUUCGCAUUGGAGUGUGGUGCAUCCAGCCGGAUCCAAGGGAGCGCCCUGCAAUGGCUCAAGUCGUCAAAAUGUUGCAAGGAGUGCCCUAAAAUUCUUUGACCAAUGAAUUCUUUAUUAUUUAGAUCCUUUAAGGAGUUAAAGCUUUUAGUUUAAUCUAGUUUAAUAUGUUAUAUUUUAGUUUAGUUAAGAAAAUUAAAAAAGUUUUAUUUGGAAUAUUUUCCCAAUUUUUCCUUUUAAUAUUAAAACAUGGUUAUUAUUUAAAUGUCAGUUACGAAAACCACUUUAGAAUCAUUGUUUUUUUAGAUCUUAUUAAAGAAGUAAGAAAAAUAAUUAUUGCUCCGUGUUUUUGAAUAAAUAUGACAAUAUCAUUUUUAAAUGCACAACCAAAUAGUAGAUGGAAUAUCUUUCCUGAUUUUAGUAUAAUAUAUAAAGGCUUUGAUUUACAAGUAGAAUUUACAAAUAUGAUGGUUGGUUUUGUUAUGGAUGCUUUUUGUAAAAUUUGGAUCCACAGAAUAUAUCAAUGGACAAUUUACCAAAUCAUAUCAGUUUGAUUCAGAUUAUAUUUUUCCACAUAAAGUAAAACGUACUCACAACCACAUAAAAACGAUUUCAAUAUUUAUAAGGUCUGCAUAAGAAAUGGACCACACCAUUUUUGUCUUUUCUACAUUAUCAAAUGGGAACUUUCUGCAAUCUCUAAAUGGAAUAUUCACGCUUUACAUGCAACUGGAUUGCAAUCUAGUUUUAUAUACAAAGAGUGUAAUUGUUUGGAGCACUCACACAAAUAGCAAAGGCAAUGGAUGCUUUCUAAGGUUGCAAAAAGAUGGAAAUAUGGUAAUCUAUGAUGAAAAUUACACGGUUGUUUGGUCAUACAGCAUUUACUGGAAAGACAAAUGGAUUACUAGCGCAUUAUGUGUUAAUAACUCUGGACGUGUUAUAGUAUGCAACACUGUAGAGCAAACUUGUAUAUGCCCAUCACGAAGAUGAGAAUUUAAAAUCUAGCAUUCACUCUACACAAAUAUGAGACAAACGGACAUAAGUUGAUGCUCCAGAAGCUCUUGCGAUGGCGCCAAACCGAUUAUUGCCAUGAGUUUUACAAGCCCCAAGCAGCGUCAUGUAGGCAAUGGAGCCCGGCUCGAUUGGCAUGCUAUCGAUCACCUCUUGGGCCUCAUCAAGCCGGCCAGUUCACCCAAGCAAAUCGAUCACACACAUGAAAUGCUCCAAGUUUGGAGCUAUGUGAUGAUCGAGCACAAGAGGCUGGAAACUAUGCUUACCACUCUCAAAGAGCCGGGCGUGGCUACAUGCAGAGAGAACACUGACAAUUGUAACUUCGUCCGGAUCAAGCCCCUCGUGCUUCAUCCUCCAGAAGAAAUCAAAAGUUUCAUCAAAAUGACCGUUGUUUGCAUAUACCGAGAUGAUUCCAUUCCAUGAAACCAUGUCCUGCCCUGUCGUUGCCUCAGAAGCCAACCUUGCCCCUCCAAGGUAUCCACACUAAGCAUUUGGUGUUGAGUAGAAAACUAAGCUGGGAGAAGAAUCUAAAUGGAAACAAUGAAUUUCUCUCUUGAGACUUCCUGAAAAUUAGUGGUGCCCAAGUGCUAGUGAAAAAAUCAAAGUAGAAAGAUUCAAGGAAAGGGAGAAAUCCUUGUCCAAACGCCAAAUUCAUACUCAAGAUUGAGAAAUUGUGCUUGCAUAAUGUCUGUCAAAGCUACCUGAUUCAAUUGUGAAUUCUGGAUGUCUAGUGUGAAUGAAAGUGUGAUGGUUCACCUCAGUGCUUGGAGAGUUCUUCAAUUCGAACAUCAAAUCAGAACUGAAUCUAUCUCCCCAGAACAAAAAAUUGAUCAUUAAUGUGUUAGCAAUCUAAGUUUUUAAACUGACAAAGGACAGCAUUCGAAGAAACAUCCCAAGAAAAUAUUUUAGAACCCUAAAACGCAUCAUGGUUCUAUGCGCGUAAAUGCUGCGGCGGCACUACUCCGAAAAUGCCGAUCUCCCACGGAGGCGCGGAUUCUCCACUCGCAGAUCGCCAGGGCGGGCCUGGAUCGCAACACAUUCGUCGCGAAUCUUGUCAUUCACAUGUACAGCGUCUGCGGCAGCCUGCGGGAUGCCGAGAACGUCUUCCACAGCGGCGCAGCCCGCCGCAACGUCUACUCGUGGACGAUCUUGCUGCGAGCAUUUGCCCAGACAGAGGAUCUUGCCAGAGCCAGGGACGUUUUCACGCGAAUGGCUCAUCGCGAUGUGGUCUCCUGGAAUGCGCUGAUUUCCGGGUGCGCAGGCGCUGGGAAUCUCUCGCGGUCGCAGGAGCUCUUCGAUUCCAUCCCGGAGAGAGAUCUUGUGUCCUGGAACACGAUCAUCGCGGCGUAUGCCCAGAAUGGGCAUUGCAGAGAGGCGCUGGGAUUUUUCCGGGGCUUGGAUCUCGAGGGCGUGGCGCCGGAUUCCAUCAGCUUCGUGAGCGUUCUCGAUGCCAUUGCCGGGAUCGAAGGGCUGGAUAGAGAUCUGGCAAGGGCGAUUGCCAUGGAAGCAAUCUGGCUGGGAAUUCAUACCCAGAUCGCUGUCGGGGCGGCGCUCGUUGUGGUUUAUGGAAAGAUUGGCGAGGCCGAGAGCGCGGAGCAUUUCUUUGAUCGGAUCAUUGGCAGGAAUGCGAUAUGCUGGAACGCCAUGCUGUCCGCGUAUGCCCAAUCAGGGAAUCUUUGCAAAGCGCGAGAGUUCUUCGACCGAAUGCCUUGCGUUGAUGUGAUCUCCUGGACGACGAUAAUUGAUGCCACAUCUCGCCAUGAACGGCUCCAGGAGGGAAAGGAUCUCUUUGAUUGCAUGAAACAAAGAGAUUUGGCUGUCUGGAACGCUCUACUUUCGGCAUUUGCCCAAAAGGGGCAUGUUUUGGAGUCUAUAGAUUUGUAUGAAAGGCUCCCAGCCCACGAUCUUCGUUCAAGAACAUCACUGCUCAUAGCUUAUGCUUCGAAAGGUGACAUGGUUUCGUUGCUUGAGAUAUUUCAUCAAACAAGCCACAAGGACGUCACUCUCUGGAACGCGAUGAUCACAGCACUUGCCCUGCUUGGGCAUCUGCUAGAAGCUCUAGACCUUUUCGAUUCAAUGGACGUUCUCAAGAACAAACUCACGUACAUCAUCGCCAUCGACGCCUGCGGCAGCCUUGGCGAUCCUGAUCGAUGCGAGAGGAUCUUCCACUUGAGCCAAGCCUGCGGAUCCUUGCGUAGCAAUCACGGAGUAUCGUGCUCCUUGAUCAAGAUGUUUGGCAGAUCCGGUGCGGUGGAGAGGGCCGAGCUCGUCUUCGAGCAGAAGAAGCGGCGGAGAGAGCUCUGGAACGCCAUGAUCGCGACGUAUGCUCACAAUGGAUGCCUCGACGAAGCGAUGCUCCUUUUCAAGACAAUGCCCCGGAGAGAUCUUUCCUCGUGGAGCAUCGUCGCUAGAGCUCAAGCCCAGCAGGGACACUUCGAUCAAGCACUGUUCUUGCUCGAGAUCUCGCCAGAGAUCACUAUCGCGGCAUGCAACGCGCUGAUCACCGCGUAUCUCCAGAGAGGCCACCUCGCUAGCGCGAGGCGGGUAUUCGAUCGGAUGGAGCAGCGAGACACGAGUUCGUGGAGCUCGAUCAUCGCGGCCUAUGCCCAGCUCGGUCACUGCGAGGAAUCACUCGCGCUGUUCUGGCAGAUCGACACAACACCCGACCGCGCGACGUUCCUCGCAGCUCUCGAUGCGUGCUCGGGCCUCUCGAGCCUCUCCCACUGCCGCCAAGUUCACGCAGCGGCGGAUCACACUGGCUGGAUCUCCGAUCUCGCCGUGGCGACUUCACUGGUGGCGAGCUAUGGAAAAUGCAAGGGAGUGGAGGAAUCCAAGGCAGUGUUUGAUCGCAUCGAGCACCCAUCCACUGUCUCGUGGAACUCUUUGCUAAGAUCAUAUGCGCAAAACGGGCAUCUCGCCAAGGCCGCGAGUUUCCUCGAGGAAACCAUUCCUUCUCCAGACGUGGUCUCGUUUAACACGCUCGCGGCGGCUUAUAUCCAGCACGGGAGAGUGAACGAGGCUCUGGAGAUUCUCACGAAAAGGAUGCCCUGCUGGGACAGCUUCUCGCACAAAACAGCUAUGGUGGCGCAUGCCCAAGCCGGGCAUAUCCACAAAGCAAAGGAAAUAUUUGAGAAAAUGGAGGAGCCAAGCACGGUCUCGUGGAACACCUUGAUUUGUAUCUUCGUCCAAGCCGGGGAAUGCGAGAGUGCUGCUCGGCUCUUUCACCAAAUGGAUCUGGAAGGCACCCAGGCGGACAAGGUGAGUUUCUUGGCUGUUCUUGACGCCCUUGGGAGGAUCACCGCUCUCCAAAAGGGAAAGCUUGUGCAUGGUGAGCUCCAUCACUCUAGGUUUCAAUCCGACGUGAUGACAAGCAAUGCCGUUGUCAACUUUUAUGGGAGGUGUGGAUACCUUCAAGGGGCAAAGGUGGCGUUUGAGGCAACGACAAGGCAGGACGUGGUUUCAUGGAAUGGAAUCAUCUCGGUGUAUGCAAACAACGGGCAUUUUGAGGAAACUUUUGAUCUCUUCUGGAGGAUGAAGCUCGAGGGGCUUGAUCCGGACGAAGUCACGUUUGUCAGUGUUCUCUCUGCAUGUAGCCAUGCCGGGUUCUUUGAGAGUGGUAAGUAUAGUUUCCAGUCUCUUGUGCUCGAUCAUCACAUAGCUCCAAACUUGGAGCAUUUCAUGUGUGUGAUCGAUUUGCUUGGGCGAAGUGGCCGGCUUGACGAGGCCCAAGAGGUGAUCGAUAGCAUGCCAAUCGAGCCGGGCUCCAUUGCCUACAUGACGCUGCUUGGAGCUUGUAAAACUCAUGGCAAUAAUCGGCUUGGAAACAUGGCUGCUCCAAGCGCCAUCACAAGAGCUUCUGGAGCAUCAACUUAUGUCCUUCUAUCUCAUAUUUGUGUAGAGUGAAUGCUAGAUUUUAAAUUCUCAUCUUGGUGAUUGCCAUAUAGAAGUUUGCUCUACAGUGUUGUAUACGACAACAUGUCCAGAGUUAUCAACACAUAAUGCACUAGUAAUCCAUUUGUCUUUCCAGUAAAUGCUGUCUGACCAAACAACCGUGUAAUUUUCAUCAUAGAUUACCAUAUUUCCAUCUUUUUGCAACCUUAGAAAGCAUCCAUUGCCUUUGCUAUUUGUGUGAGUGCUCCAAACAAUUACACUCUUUGUAGAUUGCAGUCAAGUUGCAUGUAAAGCAUGAAUAAACCAUUUAAAGAUUGCAGAAAGUUCCCAUUUGAUAAUGUAGAAAAGACAGAAUGGUGUGGUCCAUUUCUUAUGCAUACCUUAUAAUAUUGCAAUCGUUUUUAUAUGGUUUUGUAGGGUGAAAUAAGCAAGUUUUACUUUAUCUGGAAAAAUAUAAUCUGAAUCGAGCUGAUACUAUAUGCUAAACCGUCCAUUGAUAUAUUCUACAAAAUCAUCCAUAACAAAAUCAGCCAUCAUAUCUGUAAAUUCUACUUGUAAAUCAAAGCCUUUAUAUUUUAUCUACUAUUUGGUUGUGCAUUUAAUAAUGAUAUUGUCAUUCUUAAGGAUUUACCAUUUUUUGAAAACACUACUUUAGAAAGUGAAAAUCCUGAGUAAUAAUUAUCUUUUCUUCCUACGUCUUUAAUAAGAUCUAAAAGAAAACCCAUGAUUCUAUGUUUAAAACUGGUUAGUUUGUUAUAUUUUGGUUUAGUUAAGUAAAAUUAAAAUAGUUUAAUUUUUAUUUAUUUAUAAAUUCUUUAAUUUUAAAAUGUAAAACCUUUUACAAGCGUUUGAGAUGAAUAUUUAAUAUGCCCAAAUCUUUAUUUCUCUUAAUUUCUAUAUUAUUUCUAAAACAUUGUUACACUUUAAGUGUCAUUUACGAAAAUCCAAAUUCUAUAUCACUAAGCCUGGAUCUAAAUAAUAAAUAAUAUCCUCGAAGAAUCUUAGGGCACUUGCAUCGGGCGCUGCUUUGGAUCCGGUUGGAUGCACCACACUCCAAUGCGAAGCAGCUUCUCGGCCUUAGAGGUAGCCUCCAUUUCUUGCCGCGCCCUCUUCUCUUCUAACAUCUCCAUUAACUUCCCAGACCGAAGCUUCUCAAACCGCCAGGAACUUUGGGCUCCUCCCGCAAGACACACAGGUAUGGAAAGCUUGAAGUCCGCUAGCCACUUCCAGCACAAGGAUCCCAAAGCUGUAGAUGUCCAGUUUGUCUCUCACUCUCAUCUGCAACCAUUCCGGAGCCAUGUAUCCGGGUGUUCCUCAGAUCAUUGUCAUGACAUCGCUUAGAUCUCCUUGCUCUACCAUCCUCGACAGUCCAAACUCUGCUAUCUUGACACCAAAGUUUUCGUCCAGGAGUAGGUUUUGCGGCUUGAUGUCCAAGUGCAGGACUCUAGUGCUGCAUUCCUCGUGGAGGUAGCACAUCCCUCGAGCAAUCUCCUCGACUAUCUUGAAUCUCGUGUCCCAGUUGAGCUCUUCCCGCGGCUUGUAGAUCCACUUGUCUAGCGAUCCGUUUGCUACGUACUCGUAAAUCAGGAAGUAGUGUGAUUCCUGGGAAAAAAAGCCUUUGAGUCUUACAAGGUUCUUGUGAUGGAUGAUUCCGAUCGCUCUCACCUCCGCCUUGAACUGUUUGUAUCCUUGGCUCGAGAAGCUCUCCAGCCGUUUCACGGCAACGGAGAGUAUCCCUUCGAAAACCGUGCCAACGCCUCCACUUGCGAUUUUCUCACUGAAGGCUUUGGUUGCAGUGAGGAGCUCCGGGUAAUUGAAGACGUGCACCACGUCCAUAGCACCGAACGGAAACGAUGGUUUGUAGUGUUUGAGAUACGAGUUUAUCUGUUUCUUCCAGAUCACCAUUGCGAUGAUGAUUAUAGCCAUGGUUGCCACAGAGAAAACCGCGACGAUGGCUGGCUUUGCCUGUUUUUGCUACUUGGCGACUUUGUGAGUUGAGCUUCGGAAGAUCUCCAGCUUGGUACAGCUUGAUCGAAAACAGCAAAGCUUGAUCGACGACGUUGCGAGUUUUGUUCAGAGAAAAAACUUCGAUCAUCUGGAAACAGGUAGUCGUUUCUCCUGGCUUAGCACCCCUUUGCACGAACAGUUUUUGAUACACAGGGCCAUGCACGCUGCUGGAGUGACGUUGUGGAGCGCACUGGAUAAAUCUAGAGGUUUGUAGAAGUAUCGUACUGUGGCUUCGAGCAUGUAGUGAUGUUGCGAGUUCUCGCAGGUUCUUCCAGGUGCUUGCAUCCCUCCUUGUUCCCGGAAGAAACGUACUUCGUGAACGAUGCAGAGGCAUCCUUCAGCUGUCUCGAACGAGAUCCCACAGGUUCGAGUAAGCGAGCUUUUCCCGAAGAAGAGGGGGUUUAAGUUGAUGCUCUUCGUGCUGUUGCCGGUGCUGAAUGAUCUCGAGGUAAACCGGGGCUCUCCAUUCGAGUAGAUCUUGAGGAACUGGUGCCCUGUUUGAUCAGUAACACCACCGAUCGUUGGAGUGGACCACAUAACACCUUUCGUCCCGUGGAUUUCCAAGCUGCUAUUGACGAGGAAGAGAAAUGAUAUCUCUUCUUCUUCCUCAUCGGAGCUCCAGACCUCUCCAAAAGAUCCUCAACAUACUGGAGUUCAAAGCGACCGAGAAGCGGCUACCUCGAGUGAGAAGUACCCUGGCUCUUUGUUCUCCUAGAGAUGCUGGCUACUAACUUCAUCCCAGGGAGCACAGCAUCACAGGGAUGAUCAAAGCUCUGCCACAGGAAAGCUCCAAUUUUGCUCCGGAUGACGAGAUUUCCAGAGCUCUCGAGGGCCAAGACUUGCGCUCCAGAUCCUCCCGUGUUGGUCAACCACACAAAGCUUCCAAUGUCACUGGAAGCACCAUCUUCCUCCAAGCUCCACUCUCGAAUCCACUCCAGAUAUUUCGAAUUAGCCUUGGCUUCAGCACCCCUUCCUGCCUCCUACUUGGGAGCAAACCUCCCAAGAGUUCCAGUUCUACUUGUCAGUCUUCUACGCCAUGGACGACAAGGAGAGUUUCAAUCUCUACUAUCUAGCAGCGGUGACAUGGCGAGCUACGCGAAAACCGUCCCGAAAGGAGCGUACCUCAGCUUUACCAGCGAUGGCGACCUGGUGCUGAGCGACGUGGAUAGGUACCCAGCUUGUGCUUGGCUUGGCUGUGGAUUCCUGUUGGCAUUGUCCAAGGAGAACCAGCGGACGAUCUUAUGAAUCGAGCUAAUGAUCAAGUUUAAAUAUUCUUAGAACCUUAGAACGAACUAUGAUUUACUUGAAUGAGGACUUGUUCAAAGCUACUUGUCUCCCAAUGGACGAUCCAGCAGCAAUGGCAUGGCAAGCUACCUUACAAACUCAGUUGAAAAAAGUAAAAGUAUAGCGAAAAUCUUGUAAAAAUAUAAAAUUCGUAGAGAGUAUCAGCAAUUAUAAGCUUUUGAUCCCAGAUGUUGCUUACACUUGUCAUCAAACGCAGAUCACUUCAUCAGGUUCACCGUUUUGGGGCACAUUCCAAGGCAGGUACCAAAAGGGUUCUUCUUGCAGCAGUAGUGUUUCUUGGACGAGUCGCACAGCUGAAAGCAGGUACCAAGAGGGUUCUUGAGGCAGCAGAAGUAUUUGACAUUGGUCUCGCAAAGUUGCAGGCAGCCGCCGAGUCCAUUCUUGAGGCAGCAGUAGUAUUUGAUCUUGGAGUCGCACUCCUGAACACAUGAUCCCAAACCAUCCUUCAGGCAGCAGUACUUAUCUUGGAGGCCUGCAGCAUUAACAAACGGAGAAGCAGUGGCGCAUAAUAAAUAUCACAAGGACAACUCAUGAUCACAACAAGAGGGAUCAUAACGUGAUCUAUGUUACCGUGUUUGGAGGGGAUGACAACAUUGAGACCAGCAGCCUCGUUACUACCUUCACGAGACCCCUCAACGAUGUAAGUCACAUCGCUCUCCUUGUCAGUCACUAGAACGAUAUCUGCAAGUUAGACAAACGAUUUGCAAGAAUGCGGACACGUACGCUCAAUGUUGCGAGAUGCAUCGGCUACGAAGAGCAGCAGGCCAAAGAGGAGGGCGGAAAGAAGAAACACUUUGGCCAUUCUCCUUGAACUGAACCCAGAAAUGACAAUAUAAGGUUUUGCAUCUGUUUAUAAAGGGGGAACGCCUGCAUGCACAAAAUAUCUUCUAAAAAUAUCUUCCAAAAAUAUCUUCUAAUGUUUCCUCCUCUCAAAAUUGGAUCAACGUGCUAAAGUAUUUGUCAUGGUUUUUUGAGUGAUAACUCAUUGCCAUCUGUUUGCCAAGGUGGAAGUCACAAAACCCAUAGCAAGUCGUUUGACGUCAGCUGAAAUAUACAUGGUUGGUCUCAAGUAUCUGGCACCCAUGAAAAUCGAUAUCUAAACAAGGUGCUUGCGCUAAAGCCAAGUAAAUGAUCGAUGGCAUCACCUGUCUGAAAAACCUCUAGAGCUUCUUGGUAGCAUCAUGUCUAUUUCCAAAUGGAAUAGGGAUGCAAGCCAAUGUCCCCUUCACCCGAGGGGAACCGNNNNNNNNNNNNNNNNNNNNNNNNNNNNNNNNNNNNNNNNNNNNNNNNNNNNNNNNNNNNNNNNNNNNNNNNNNNNNNNNNNNNNNNNNNNNNNNNNNNNNNNNNNNNNNNNNNNNNNNNNNNNNNNNNNNNNNNNNNNNNNNNNNNNNNNNNNNNNNNNNNNNNNNNNNNNNNNNNNNNNNNNNNNNNNNNNNNNNNNNNNNNNNNNNNNNNNNNNNNNNNNNNNNNNNNNNNNNNNNNNNNNNNNNNNNNNNNNNNNNNNNNNNNNNNNNNNNNNNNNNNNNNNNNNNNNNNNNNNNNNNNNNNNNNNNAGGGCUCAUUUGUAUGAUGAGAAAGUGGACAAAUUGAGCCAAAGAGAACAGAUCCCUCUCACCAUAAGUGACAUUGACUUGCAUUCUUAUUCCAUUUUGAAAUAGACAUGAUGCUACCAAGAAGCUCUAGAGGUUUUCUAGACGAUGCCAUCGAUCAUUUACUCGGCUUUAGCGCAAGCACUUUGUUUAAAAUAACAAAACCCAGGCUGACAAAUCAAAUAAAAAGUGAUACGCAUAUCGAUUUUCAUGGGUGCCAGAUACUUGAGACCAACCAUGUAUAUUUCAGCUGAUGUCAAACGACUUGCUAUGGGUUUUGUGACUUCCACCUUGGCAAACAGAUGGCAAUGAGUUAUCACUCAAAAAACCAUGACAAAUACUUUAACACGUUAUAAUCUUGGGAUCGAAGAAAAACCAAUUUUGGGAAUCAGAGGAGGAAACAUUAGAAGAUAUUUUUCAGGCGUUCCCCCUUUAUAAAUAGAUGCAAAACUUUAUAUUUUCAUUUCUGGGUUCAGUUCAAGGAGAAUGGCCAAAGUGUUUCUUCUUUCCGCCCUCCUCGUUGGCCUGCUGCUCUUCGUAGCCAAUGCAUCUCGCAACACUCAGCAUACGUGUCCGCAUUCUUGCAAAUCGUUUGUCUAACUUGCAGAUAUCGUUCUAGUGACUGACAAGGAGAGCGAUGUGACUUACAUCGUUGAGGGGUCUCGUGAAGGUAGUAACGAGGCUGCUGGUCUCAAUGUUGUCAUCCCCUCCAAACACGGUAACAUAGAUCACGUUAUGAUCCCUCUUGUUGUGAUCAUGAGCUGUUCUUGUGAUAUUUAUUAUGCGCCACUGCUUCUCCGUUUGUUAAUAAUGCAAGCCUCCAAGAUACGUACUGCUGCCUGAGGAACGCCUUUGGAUGUCUUCAGAAGUGCGACUCCAACAUCAAUUACUUCUGCUGCCUCAAGAAUGCAAUAGGUGGCUGCUUACAGAUGUGCGACUCAUCCAAGAAACACUACUGCUGCAAGAAGAACCUUUUUGGCACCUGCGUUGAAAUGUGCCCCAAAACGGUGAACCUGAUGAAGUGAUCUGCGUUUGAUGGCAAGUGUAAGCAACAUCUGGGAUCAAAAGCUUAUAAUUGCUGAUACUCUCUACAAAUUUUAUAUUUUUACAAGAUUUUCGCUAUACUUUUACUUUUUUCAACUGAGUUUGUAAGGUAGCUUGCCAUGCCACUGCUGCUGGAUCGUCCAAUUAUAGUUCGUUCUAAGGUUCUAAGAAUAUAUAAACUUGAAUUUUAGCUCGAUUCAUAAGAUCGUCCGCUGGUUCUCCUUGGACAACGCCAACAGGAAUCCACAAAGGGAUGUCCGCUUGUUGUGGCAAAGAGUCAAGGGUGGCAAAGGGAAGCUUGUGGUGGAUCAGAUUCAAAGGUUGCAAGCCUGUGAACACAGGCAAAGGUGGCAAGCCUACAAGCAAAAGGCAAAGGUGCUGCCAAGAGUAGAGAACUGCUGUUUGCAUGAACCUACGCACCCGAAAUACUACUCGAUAGCCCUGCUCAUGAUCCACUAGAGUUGCAAGCUCAUGAUCAAAUGGCAGUUCUAAGCAAUACCAUUUCCACUUGUUGAAGAAUGGGUUUCCCCAACCCAAAAACUCUGCCUUCCUGGACCAGCACCAUUGAGAGACCAACUCGAUAACGAUGGCAGUAACGAUGUCCCUAUGGUGGAUUUGUAUGGCAAGUGUGGAAGCACGAUUAAUUCUCGGCUGGUUCUACGUCCGGAGAAGACAUGGUAAAGCUGGAACAUAGCGUUUUGAAAACCAUGGAGAAUCAAGCUUCUUUCCAAACCUUGCGAACAGAGCUGAAGCAGGUUUGCUCUAUCGAAGAAUAGUUAAGCAUGGCCUUGCAUCUGCCGCAAACGUCGUGAGCUUGUUACUUCCAUUGAAUCAAAGAGGUCCAUGAAGCUGGACAAGUACUGUGACCAUCGCGUUCCAAAGGGUGACGUUCUUGUAACUUGUUUGAUAAAAGAUCUCAAGUAGCGGAUCCAUGUAUAAGCCAUGGGUAGGAGCGAAGAUCGGAAGUCAUUCGAACAGAUCCCCCUUUUGGGCAUUAAGAUAAGCGCAUUCCAGACCGCUAAAUCUCUUUGUUUCAUGCAAUCAAAGAGAUCCUUUGCCUCCUGGAGCUCUUCUUGGCGAGGUGUGGCAUCUAUGAUCGUCGUCCAUGAGAUCACAUCCAAGCAAGGGAUUCGAACGAAGAGCUUUCGCGCUUUGCACAGCAUCGCGUUCCAGCAGAUCGCAUUCCUGCCAAUGAUCCGAUCAAAGCACUGCUCCGCGCUCUCGGCCUCGCCAGUCCUUCCAUAAACCACAACGAUCGCUGUCCCCACAGCGAUCUGGGUGUAAAUUCCCAGCCAGAUCGCUUCCAUGGCGAUCGCCUUUCCCAGAUCUCAUCCCGGCAAUGGCAUCGAGAACGGUCACGAAGCUGAUGGAAUCCGGCGCCAUCCAAGCCCCGGUAGAAUCGCAGCGCCUCUCUGCAAUGCCCGUUCUGGGCAUACGCCGAGAUGAUUGUUCCAGGACACAAGAUCUCUCUCCGGCAUGGAAUCGAAGAGCUCCUGCGACCGCGGGAGGUCCCAGCGCCCGCGUACCCGGCGAUCAGCGCAUUCCAGGAGACCACAUCGCGCAGAGCCAUUCGCGUGAAAACUUCCCUGACUCUGACAAGAUCCCCUGUCUGGGCAAAUGCUCGAAGCAAGAUCGUCCACGAGUAGACGUUGUGGCGGGCGGUGCCGCUGUGGAAGACGAUCUCUGCAUCGGGCAGGCUGCCGCAGACGCUGUACAUGCGAAUGACGAGAUUCGCGAUGCGAUCCAGGCCUGCCCUGGCGAUCUGCGAGUGAAGAAUGCGCCUCCGUGGGAAAGAAAGAACCAUGAUGCUUUUUAGGGUUUUAGAAUAUUUUCUUGGCGCCAAGAAGCUAUGGCGAUGGCGAUCAGAGGUAGCUCUCGACCUAAUCGAUCGAUGCAUCGAUCCAGAUGGGGCUCGAAUCUUGCUCGUAUUUCCUAGUCUCGAAUCUUUCGAUGCUAUACGCGAUUGCUUACGCUGAGAAAUCUGGGAUGACGCGAAUGCUUCCAAAUCAUUCCUUCGUCAGCAGGGAUCUGUGAAUCUCUCUAACGCAUUCCAUCACUUUUCUUAUAAUAUUUUCUAUGCGUUGUAUCAGAGAGGCCUGGCGAUCGAGAGGAAUAGCUCCAUCAAAUUAGACAAAGCUGGGAUUGCUUUCUACGACCUAUGGCGAUCAUACAGGUUCUACUUUUCCCUCUCAGCUUUUUUUUUUGGUUCUUUCCUUCUUGCUUUUGUCCUCUCGUUUUACGUAUCCUUUUCUUUUUUUCUCCUUGUGUUCCUUCUAGAGCUCUGAUUCAUGCUACAUUGCAAGUUUUCUAGCUAGCCUUUAAGCUUUGUUUCUUUCUUUCGCAAACAUACCACGGUCUUUGGAUCCUUUCCUUUUGCCUGUGUUGUUUUGCUCUCUCUUUUUUUUUUUCUAUACUAUCACAUUGUCCUGCGUUUGUGUGCCAGGAACGAUUUCGCUUUUCCACGUUCUAUUUAUUAUUACUUUCACAUCAGUUCACGUGUGGCGCUGCAGCAACAGGCGUUCUCGUCCAGCCUUUGCAGUGGUCAAGUAGUAUAAUUCUUACCAUCUCUUGUUUCUCUUUUAGUUGAUCGCUAAAGUCGGUGCUUUGUCAUACAGCGGAUCAUUGUCAGGCUCGUCGCAACCGAGUCAAGAGGAAUCCAGGCGAUUUUCAUCUGUCAGUGAGGACCAAGACCGCGGUAAGCUCCUCUGAUUGAGUGAGAGUCCUGUAACUUCGCUUCUGUUACAGCGACAGAGAGUCCGACUCCAAG